UUCCCGGGGCGGGAACCACUGAGCGGAGCGCAGCGUGUGGGCGCGCGGCCGGGUUUAUUUUUGGCGCAUGCACACGCCUGGGUAGCCUCAAGGUCGGCGAUGCCCUGAGAUCCCGGCCGCUGCGCACGGGCUCCGUCUUGCAGCCGCGGGCUCCAGAAGGAGGGAGUCCCCGGUCCCAGCAGGGCCUUCUGUGAGCAGGUUCAGUACUGAGCACCGUCAGGGCUGCAGCCGGGGCCGGCAGGUAGGAGAGGGGUUCCCCAGAGGUUGACCCCGACCAGCCGCCAGUGCGCAGCGGGGGCCUGGCUAGUUGCUGCCGCGUCCCCGCCCGGCGCCCGCACCCGCGCCCCAGGGCUCCCCCGCGGGCUCGGGGCGCCCUGGAGCGGAGAGGGGGCCCUGCGCUCCCUUGGGCUGCGAGCUGUCACGGAAUUUGACACCCGGAGGGACAGCUGGUCGCGGCCAGGACUCUUGGUCUCUCUUAAAUGGAAACAGCUUCUCCCAGUGAACCCGCGGGAAUUCUCAGAGGACUCGCACUUACGCUUUACCCCCUGGCGCAUUUGACCAAGGCCGCAUUUCUCCCCUGGAGACAAGGAGAGCUUCGAAUGGAGCGGGUCUCCUGGCUGCAGAACAAGGUUCAUGAAAUUUUCAGGAAUGCAAGUUAGUCCUGAGGGAAGUUCUUGAAUAUCUAGUGCUGGCCCGUGGUGCUUGCUGAGAAAACUACUAAAGGAUGGACCCUAGCAAGAGGAGAGGUGAACCCAG